GUCCGUUCGUCUGUUCAUCCAUUUAUUGCACGCUUCAGGUUAAAGUUUGAGCGAUAUCAAGGCACCGUCGAGCCUCUAGCUUGUUUAUACCCUAAAUACUACGUACCUUGAAGGACAUUUUUUUUAUACGAUUGUACAUAUCAUGGAUACUUGAUUUACUUGAUUUUACAUAUGCUUAAAAUGGAGGUUAUCCAAAAUUGGACGGAUACAUUGUAUCAAGACAAAUGAUAACAAGUGUGAGAUCACUGAGGAAUAUUAGAAUAUUCCACAGAUGGAACAAUUUUCCAUUUAAAGGUGCAUUCAAAAUGCAUUUGGAAAUCAACAUGAAGCAAGUUUAUGUCUACAAGGGAAUGUUCCAAAUUCAAAAACCACCUUUACACUGUAAACUAUAUAUAUAUAUCUAUUACUCUAGGCCACACAUUUUCCUGAAAAAUAUGAAAAUUUGUUCGAUAUAAAUAGUAUAUAAUGUGAAACAUUUGUUUUAUAAAGUAUAUUUUGGG
rnacentral:lncRNA from 1 species